rnacentral:rRNA from 1 species
UACGGGAGGCAGCAGUGGGGAAUAUUGCACAAUGGACGAAAGUCUGAUGCAGCAAUGCCGCGUGUGUGAAGAAGGCCUUAGGGUUGUAAAGCACUUUCAAUAGUGAGGAAAAGCAAGUAGUUAAUA